rnacentral:rRNA from 1 species
GACGAACGCUGGCGGCGUGCUUAACACAUGCAAGUCGAACGGAAAGGCCCUGCUUUUGCGGGGUGCUCGAUUGGCGAACGGGUGAGUAACACGCGAGUAACCUGCCCUUGACUUUGGGAUAACUUCAGGAAACUGGGGCUAAUACCGGAUAUGAGCUCCUGCUGCAUGGUGGGGGUUGGAAAGUUUCGGCGGUUGGGGAUGGACUCGCGGCUUAUCCGCUUGUUGGUGGGGUAGUGGCUUACCAAGGCUUUGACGGGUAGCCGGCCUGAGAGGGUGACCGGCCACAUUGGGACUGAGAUACGGCCCAGACUCCUACGGGCGGCAGCAGUGGGGAAUAUUGCACAAUGGGCGGAAGUCUGAUGCAGAGACGCCGCGUGCGGGAUGACGGCCUUCGGGUGGUAAACCGCUUUCGCCUGUGACGAAGCGGGAGUGACGGUAAUGGGUAAAGAAGCACCGGCUAACUACGUG